rnacentral:tRNA from 1 species
AAAAAGUUAGUUAAUUAUAACAUUAAUAUGUCAUAUUAAAAUUAUCAAAAUAUUGAUACUUUUUG